GACGAACGCUGGCGGCGUGCUUAACACAUGCAAGUCGAACGAUGAACCCGGAGCUUGCUCCGGUGGAUUAGUGGCGAACGGGUGAGUAACACGUGAGUAACCUGCCCUUGACUCUGGGAUAACUGCGGGAAACUGUAGCUAAUACCGGCCACGACCCUCGGCGCCAUCGCCAGGGGGUGGAAAGAAUUUCGGUCAAGGAUGGACUCGCGGCCAAUCAGUUAGUUGGUGAGGUAACUGCUCACCAAGGCGACGACGGGUAGCCGGUCUGAGAGGGUGACCGGCCACACUGGGACUGAGACACAGCCCAGAGUCCUACGGGAGGCAGCAGUGGGGAAUUUUGCACAAUGGCCGCAAGCCUGAUGCAGCAACUCCGCGUGAGGGAUGACGGCCUUCGGGUUGUAAACCUCUUUUAGUAGGGAAGAAGCGAAAGUGACGGUACCUGCAGAAAAAGCACCGGCUAACUACGUGCCAGCCGCCGCAGUAA
rnacentral:rRNA from 1 species